rnacentral:rRNA from 1 species
GAUGAACGCUGGCGGCGUGCCUAAUACAUGCAAGUCGAGCGAACGGACGAGAAGCUUGCUUCUCUGAUGUUAGCGGCGGACGGGUGAGUAACACGUGGAUAACCUACCUAUAAGACUGGGAUAACUUCGGGAAACCGGAGCUAAUACCGGAUAAUAUUUUGAACCGCAUGGUUCAAAAGUGAAAGACGGUCUUGCUGUCACUUAUAGAUGGAUCCGCGCUGCAUUAGCUAGUUGGUAAGUAAACGGCUUACCAAGGCAAGGAUGCAUAGCCGACCUGAGAGGGUGAUCGGCCACACUGGAACGGAAACACGGACAAGACUCCUACGGGAGGCACCAGAAGGGAAUCUUCGGCAAUGGGCGAAAGCCUGACGGAGCAAGGCGGCGUGAGUGAUGAAGGUCUUCGGAUCGUAAAACUCUGUUAUUGGGGAAGAACAUAUGUGUAAGUGAAUGUGCACAUCGUGACGGUACCUAAUCAGAAAGCCACGGCUAACUACGUG